CUCCAUCCCAUCUUCCAUGAUUAGUUCGUUUCUAAACUAUUCCUUCCUUAUUUUGUUUUAGUGAAGAAAACCUGGUUCCGGUAACCGUAACUGAAACCGAACACCAUACCGACACCACUUUUCAUUCACCACUAUGCCUACUAAACCACUCAACUAUCUCUACUAAACCACUCGAAGCUUUAACCACGGAAAACAUACUACCCGAAACCAUUUCCGGUGAAGAAAUACUAAUUCCGGCGAUACUUACAUACUUUCCGACGACGUCUUUCGUAACCGAAACGUGUUUUUGACCAAGCACUUUGACUCUCCACUGGGAUUUCUGCAAAUUUUCAACCAGACAGAUUCAAUCAGCAUUUUUGUUCAUCAUAUCCUGGUUUAUUCAAACACGCUUGACAAGUUUAUAUAUAUUUAAGACAACAAUCAAGAAACAAGG